rnacentral:rRNA from 1 species
CUGUUUACCAAAAACAUAGCCCUAGAAAAUAUCUAAGGUGUAACCUGCCCAAUGAUUUUUAAUUGAAGAAUUAUAAAGAUUCUCUAAUAGGAUUUAAAGGACGCAGUAACCUUGACUGUGAUAAUGUAGCGUAAUCACUCGCCAUUUAAUUGAUGGAUAGUAUGAAUGGUUGAACGAAUAUUCCACUGUCUUAAAAGGAAGUACCAAAAAAUUGAAAUAAUAGUUAAGAUGCUAUUUAAAAUUGUAAGACGAAAAGACCCUAUAGAGCUUAACUAUAACCUCUCUUAAAAACAGAAAA